rnacentral:rRNA from 1 species
UAGUGAAUCUUCCGCAAUUGGCGAAAGCCUGACGGAGCAACGCCGCGUGAGUUAUGAAGGUCUUCGGAUCUUAAAACUCUGUUAUUAGUUAAGAACAAAUGUGUAAGUAACUAUGCACGUCUUGACUUUACCUAAUCAUAAAGCCACUGCUAACUACGUGCCAGCAGCCUCUGUAAUACGUAGGUGGCAAGCGUUAUCCGGAAUUAUUGUGCGUAAAGCGCGCGUAGGCGGUUUUUUAAGUCUGAUGUGAAAGCCCACGGCUCAACCGUGGAGGGUCAUUGGAAACUGGAAAACUUGAGUGCAGAAGAGGAAAGUGGAAUUCCAUGUGUAGCGGUGAAAUGCGCAGAGAUAUGGAGGAACACCAGUGGCGAAGGCGACUUUCUGGUCUGUAACUGACGCUGAUGUGCGAAAGCGUGGGGAUCAAACAGG